rnacentral:rRNA from 1 species
UAAGGAAUAUUGGUCAAUGGACGCAAGUCUGAACCAGCCAUGCCGCGUGAAGGAUGAAGGCCCUCUGGGUUGUAAACUUCUUUUAUCUGGGACGAAAAAAGAGAAUUCUUUCUCACUUGACGGUACCAGAGGAAUAAGCACCGGCUAACUCCGUGCCAGCAGCCGCGGUAAUACGGAGGGUGCAAGCGUUAUCCGGAUUCACUGGGUUUAAAGGGUGCGUAGGUGGGUCUGUAAGUCAGUGGUGAAAUCUCCAAGCUUAACUUGGAAACUGCCAUUGAUACUAUAGAUCUUGAAUAUCCUGGAGGUGAGCGGAAUAUGUCAUGUAGCGGUGAAAUGCUUAGAUAUGACAUAGAACACCAAUUGCGAAGGCAGCUCACUACAGGAUUAUUGACACUGAGGCACGAAAGCGUGGGGAUCAAACAG